AUUGAACGCUGGCGGAAUGCCUUACACAUGCAAGUCGAACGGCAGCACGGACUUCGGUCUGGUGGCGAGUGGCGAACGGGUGAGUAAUGUAUCGGAACGUGCCCAGUCGUGGGGGAUAACGUAGUGAAAAUUACGCUAAUACCGCAUACGAUCUAUGGAUGAAAGCGGGGGAUAGCAAGACCCCGCCCGAUUGGAGCGGCCGAUAGCAGAUUAGGUAGUUGGUGGGGUAAAGGCCCACCAAGCCAACGAUCUGUAGCUGGUCUGAGAGGACGACCAGCCACACUGGAACUGAGACACGGUCCAGACUCCUACGGGAGGCAGCAGUGGGGAAUUUUGGACAAUGGGCGAAAGCCUGAUCCAGCCAUUCCGCGUGCAGGAUGAAGGCCCUCGGGUUGUAAACUGCUUUUGUACAGAACGAAAAGGUUUCUACUAAUACUAGGAGCUCAUGACGGUACUGUAAGAAUAAGCACCGGCUAACUACGUGCCAGCAGCCGCCGUAA
rnacentral:rRNA from 1 species